rnacentral:rRNA from 1 species
GACAGAGGUGCCGAGCGUUAGGCGGAAUCACUGGGCUUAAAGCGUGUGUAGGCGGGCCGUUAAGUGCCUUGUGAAAUCCCCCGGCUCAACCGGGGAACGGCUGGGCAGACUGGCGGCCUUGGGCCAACUAGGGGUCAUCGGAACAAGCGGUGGAGCGGUGAAAUGCGUAGAUAUCGUUUGGAACGCCAAUGGUGAAAACAGGUAGCUGGGAGUGUGCCGACGCUGAGACACGAAAGCCAGGGGAGCGAACGGG